UGUCAGACUGGUUAAUGGGAAGGGUUUCUUCUCAGUAGCGUAGGCUAACGACGUGAAGUUGUCCGCCUGGGGAGUACGGCCGCAAAGUUGAAACUCAAAGGAAUUGACGGGGACCCGCACAAGCGGUGGAUGAUGUGGUUUAAUUCGAUGCAACGCGAAAAACCUUACCUACCCUUGACAUGUCAGGAAUCCUGAAGAGAUUUGGGAGUGCUCGAAAGAGAACCUGAACACAGGUGCUGCAUGGCCGUCGUCAGCUCGUGUCGUGAGAUGUUGGGUUAAGUCCCGCAACGAGCGCAACCCUUGUCAUUAGUUGCUACGAAAGGGCACUCUAAUGAGACUGCCGGUGACAAACCGGAGGAAGGUGGGGAUGACGUCAGGUCAUCAUGGCCCUUAUGGGUAGGGCUACACACGUCAUACAAUGGCCGGUACAGAGGGCUGCCAACCCGCGAGGGGGAGCUAAUCCCAGAAAACCGGUCGUAGUCCGGAUCGUAGUCUGCAACUCGACUGCGUGAAGUCGGAAUCGCUAGUAAUCGCGGAUCAGCUUGCCGCGGUGAAUACGUUCCCGGGUCUUGUACACACCGCCCGUCACACCAUGGGAGCGGGUUCUGCCAGAAGUAGUUAGC
rnacentral:rRNA from 1 species